rnacentral:rRNA from 1 species
ACACGACUACAUUAGAUACCCCGGUAGUCCUAGCCGUAAACGAUACUCGCUAGGUGUCGGCCACGGUGCGACCGUUGUCGGUGCCGUAGGGAAGCCGUGAAGCGAGCCACCUGGGAAAGUACGGCCGCAAGGCUGAAACUUAAAGGAAUUGGCGGGGGAGCACCACAACGGGUGGAGCUUGCGGUUUAAUUGGAUUCGACGCCGGAAAUCUUACCGGGACCGACAGCAACAUGAAGGCCAGGCUGAAGACUUUGCCGGAUUAGCUG